GACAGAGGGUCCAAGCGUUAGGCGGAUUCAUUGGGCGUAAAGGGUGCGUAGGCGGCUUUCUAAGUCUGAUGUGAAAUCCUGGGGCUCAACCCUGGAACUGCAUUGGAUACUGGGAGGCUAGAGAACUGGAGAGGAGACUGGAAUUUACGGUGUAGCAGUGAAAUGCGUAGAGAUCGUAAGGAAGACCAGUGGCGAAGGCGAGUCUCUGGACAGUUACUGACGCUGAGGCACGAAGGCCAGGGGAGCAAACGGG
rnacentral:rRNA from 1 species